UACGUAGGGACCGAGCGUUGUCCGGAUUCAUUGGGCGUAAAGAGCUCGUAGGCGGCUGUUCAAGUCGAACGUGAAAACUCGGAGCUCAACUCCGAGCCUGCGUUCGAUACUGGACGGCUAGAGUCUGGUAGGGGGGAUCUGGAAUUCCUGGUGUAGCGGUGGAAUGCGCAGAUAUCAGGAGGAACACCGGUGGGCGAAGGCGGGAUCCUGGGCCUUACCUGACGCUGAGACGCGAAAGCGUGGGGAGCGAACAGG
rnacentral:rRNA from 1 species